rnacentral:pre_miRNA from 1 species
UCCAGCCAGCCGGAUCCACAAGCGGGAAAGUCGGGGUUGCCAGAACCGAAGGCCCCGGCCUCCCUGUUGGCCGAUGCGGCGACGACG